GACGUAGGGCGCGAGCGUUGUCCGGAUUUAUUGGGCGUAAAGAGCUCGUAGGCGGCUUGUCGCGUCGUCCGUGAAAACCUGCAGCUCAACUGCAGGCUUGCGGUCGAUACGGGCAGGCUGGAGUUCGGUAGGGGAGACUGGAAUUCCUGGUGUAGCGGUGAAAUGCGCAGAUAUCAGGAGGAACACCGGUGGCGAAGGCGGGUCUCUGGACAGUUCCUGACACUGAGGCACGAAGGCCAGGGGAGCAAACGGG
rnacentral:rRNA from 1 species